rnacentral:rRNA from 1 species
UGCGGAAGGAUCAUUAAUGGAAAUCUAUACGUCUGAGAGAGGUUGUUGCUGGUCCCCUCCUGGGGUGCAUGUGCACGCUUUGAUCGGAUGUUUAUGUCCUCCUUUACACCUGUGCACCAACUGUAGCUGGGGAUGAUCACGGAGCUGUCGGUUCCGAAUGCCCUCGCUAUGAAUGUUUUUACACCCUAUAAUAAAGUUUUUUUGGAAUGUUUCAUCUGCGUGUAACAGCGCGAAUUAAAUACAACUUUCAGCAACGGAUCUCUUGGCUCUCGCAUCGAUGAAGAACGCAGCGAAAUGCGAUAAGUAAUGUGAAUUGCAGAAUUCAGUGAAUCAUCGAAUCUUUGAACGCACCUUGCGCUCCUUGGUAUUCCGAGGAGCAUGCCUGUUUGAGUGUCAUGAAAUUAUCAACUGCUUUGGCUUUUGUUUCAAAGUGAAGUUGGAUUUGGAGUGUUUGCCGGCGUGUUCGGUUCCUCUCAAAAGCAUCGAACCUUCUCUGGGGGCAGAAAGUAUCUUUGAUGUGAUAAUCAUCUACGUCGCAUAGAAAGCUCCUAGUGGAAGUGUGCUUGUGUGGAAGGGAAAUUUGUUUUGACCUCCCUCUUCCCUCAUU